GUAGGGGGCAAGCGUUGUCCGGAUUUAUUGGGCGUAAAGAGCGUGUAGGCGGCCAGGUAGGUCGGUUGUGAAAACUGGAGGCUUAACCUUCAGACGUCGACCGAAACCAUCUGGCUAGAGUCCGGAAGAGGAGAAUGGAAUUCCUGGUGUAGCGGUGAAAUGCGCAGAUAUCAGGAAGAACACCCGUGGCUAAGGCGGUUCUCUAGUACGGUACUGACGCUGAGACGCGAAAGCGUGGGGAGCGAACAGGAUUAGAUACCCUGGUAGUCCACGCCGUAAACGAUGGGUGCUAGGUGUGGGGGGUGUCGACUCCCCCCGUGCCGAAGCUAACGCAUUAAGCACCCCGCCUGGGGAGUACGGCCGCAAGGCUA
rnacentral:rRNA from 1 species